GGCCUCUGUAGCUCAGUUGUUUAGAGCGCUGCACCGGAAUCGCAAUUAAGGCCGUAGGUUCAAUUCCUACCAGAUCA